AUUGAACGCUGGCGGCAGGCCUAACACAUGCAAGUCGAGCGAGCGGCGGACGGGUGAGUAAUGUAUGGGGAUCUGCCCGAUAGAGGGGGAUAACUACGGGAAACGGUGGCUAAUACCGCAUACUAUCAGAUGACCCCAUAUGGGAUUAGCUUGUAGGUGGGGUAAAGGCUCACCGAGGCGACGAUCCCUAGCUGGUCUGAGAGGAUGAUCAGCCACACUGGGACUGAGACACGGCCCAGACUCCUACGGGAGGCAGCAGUGGGGAAUAUUGCACAAUGGGCGCAAGCCUGAUGCAGCCAUGCCGCGUGUAUGAAGAAGGCCUUAGGUUUGUAAAGUACUUUCAGCGGGGAGGCGUUACCCGCAGAAGAAGCACCGGCUAACUCCGUGCCAGCAGCCGCGGUAAUUC
rnacentral:rRNA from 1 species